rnacentral:lncRNA from 1 species
UUUCUCUGCUGUUUGCUGCACGGUUUGGUUGUACUUCUCUGAACAGUAAGCAGCUGUUGGCACCACCACCUUAGCCACCUUAGGGAAGAGUGGAAGCUGGUUCAGUGAUUGCCAAGCCGAAACAGCAUAUUGCUCAGCAACCGGCUCGUAUUUUGUGUAGAGUCCUUUAGCAGUCGGCUCAAGCUUUGUGUACGCGGGUACCCUCUAUCGUCUCCACCUUGGGUUUGAGUGGACCGGAGUUGUUCUUGGCAUAACUAUAUGCUUUUGAAGCAUAAAGAAGAGCAUGGAGAGCUGCCAUUUGUACAAAUUGCAGGAUAA